rnacentral:rRNA from 1 species
GACGAACGCUGGCGGCGUGCCUAAUACAUGCAAGUAGAACGCAGUUGCGAACGGGUGAGUAACGCGUAGGUAACCGCCUCAUAGCGGGGGAUAACUAUUGGAAACGAUAGCUAAUACCGCAUACUGUGAGACGGACCUGCGUUGUAUUAGCUAGUUGGUGGGGUAAAGGCUCACCAAGGCGACGAUACAUAGCCGGCAUGGGAGGGUGGACGGCCACACCGGGAAUGUGACACGGGUCAAGCUUCUACGGGAGGGAACCAUUGGGAAUCAUCGUAAAUUGAGGGCAGGCCGGACGAGGAACGGCGCGUGAGUGAAGAAGGUUUUCGGGGCGGAAAGCUCUGUUGUUCGAGAAGCGGUAACUGACGAAGAAGGAACGGCUAACUACGUGCCAGCAGCCGCGGUAAUAC